rnacentral:rRNA from 1 species
AGCGAACGCUGGCGGCAGGCCUAACACAUGCAAGUCGAACGAAGUCUUCGGACUUAGUGGCGGACGGGUGAGUAACACGUGGGAACGUGCCUUUAGGUUCGGAAUAACUCAGGGAAACUUGUGCUAAUACCGAAUGUGCCCUUCGGGGGAAAGAUUUAUCGCCUUUAGAGCGGCCCGCGUCUGAUUGGCUAGUUGGUGAGGUAAAGGAUCACCAAGGCGACGAUCAGUAGCUGGGCUGAGAGGAGGAUCAGCCACAUUGGGACUGGGACACGGGCCAAACUCCUACGGGAGGCAGCAGUGGGGAAUCUUGCGCAAUGGGCGAAAGCCUGACGCAGCCAUGCCGCGUGAAUGAUGAAGGUCUUAGGAUUGUAAAAUUCUUUCACCGGGGACGAUAAUGACGGUACCCGGAGAAGAAGCCCCGGCUAACUUCGUGCCAGCCGUCGCCGUAAGAC